ensembl:lncRNA
UGUCGAGACUGGAUUAUAAAAUCAGUUCUAAGCCUUUAACCCCCAUCAGAACACUGAAUAAUUGAGAGGCCUAUGGACAGUGACAUUUAUGGAAAAGCAGGAAAAUAGAUGUCUAUUGAUGGGGCUGUAUUUCUGAUCAUAGUUCAUGGCUUCUUUCAGUGGUGGAGUUAACAUUACCUGCUUGAUGUCAGGUGCUGCAGUGAUUGCUGCCAGAUGGUCCCAUGAUGAUGGUCUCAAGUCUCCUGUGCCCAUGAUAGCUCUUUUGCUGAAAUGAGGAUUGCUCUGACCCCUGGUUGAACUCAUCAGCUGAAAUGAAGUUGUUCAGUGAGCUGGAGAAGACAAAGCUGAGUUCCAAGAAAUUAAUCAACUCCAUCAGCCUCUGCGAUAGGCCUGGAAAUGGCACACAUCAGACUGACCCUGAGCAGCUCUGGAUUCCCUCCGUAAAUGAAAGUCAUCAUUCCUGGCAAGGAAGAUACUAAAUUAUAGGCUUUUAAAUUUAAUUUUCAGCUUACUUGUGUUUUCGAUUAGUGUGCCAUGUUUCAUAAAGAUAGUAGUACCUUUAAGUAGUAAAUGUCCUUCAUAUACCAGCUCAGUUCCUGUUGUAAUAAAAAGGUAAAUUUGAAGUAAAAACUGUU